AGAAACUUAGGAUAAAUAGACCAAAAGCCUUCAAAGCUUUAAGAAGAAGUUAAACCCUUCUAGUUUUUA
rnacentral:tRNA from 1 species